CUGGGAUUAGCUGAAGAUUAAAGCAACCGCUCUAGCUAGUUUAAAAGUGAGGGAAAAGAUAGGGAAUUUAAUACUUAGAAAAUUCUUAGAAGAGUUGAAGGGCUAGGUUUUAUGUUGAGCUGAGCUUUUGGGAAUACUCCCAGACACGACCACAUCACAGAAACUGGCCUGGGGAGGAAACAGUAUCUCUACUAUAGUUACAAAGCUGAGGAAUCAGGAAGCUCUUUUCCUUCCUGCUGGCUCCAGAAGUACCCUGCUUUAAUUGUCAUUCAGCAAUGACGGAGUUUCACUCAGAAAUAUUGAUUCUAGGGCCAUGCCACAUGGGCCGGAUCUCAAUAGCAAAAUGGAUGUCUGGGGUGCAUUUUCUGUCACCACUUAACUGAAUUCUGAAUUCAAGUCUUACACAAGUGCAUAUGACAGGCAGGACCUAAAUCGAGUGUAGGUAUAGGAGUUUGGGAAAUGUUUCACUCUCUGCUGUCUCUGCAAACCAUAGAGGACCACAGAAGGCAGUGGAAACAGAGGUCAGAUCACUGGGAUUCACGUCAUGUGCCCUCCUUCAGAACUCAAUCA